CAGGCUGCCCGCUGGCACCUGACAGGCAGGACUCAGGGCGCGAAUGUAAUACGUCAUGCGGAAGUAGAUCCGCUAUAAGUUCGACGUUACUUCCGUUCGCCGCCUCUCUCUCCGCGGCGACCUCAUGGCAACGCAGCGCGUUCACUUGCUCUCCCACUACUCGGACGUGAUGUCUGGUUGUUAAGCUGAUCAAGGAUGAGCUGAAGGUCCUGUCUGCAGGAACCCAGUUGGGCUUCCAGAUGUCUUUGUCCACGCAUGAAGAAAGCCUGCUAAUCGUGUAGUGGUACGGUGUGAAAAAUGGCUUAUGCUCCUGCACAAGAUUGUGCUGUAACAGGAUGAAGACCCGUUGACCGCAGCAGGGUCCAUUGUGGCCGACAAGGAACUGGGUUGGCACUCUGGAGACGCAUCUCCAGGUAGCUCAUCUGGUUUGACUUUACUUCCAGAGUGUGCGCUCGAGUACCCAGACUGCUCCUGAAGGCCAUUCUGCAGACCUACAAUGAGGAUGCAAGAGCUCUGACUGGCCCGAUCAAAACAUAAGACACCUGAACAUAAUUUUGCUGAGAAAUCAAUAAAGUUGGCUGGUUAUUCAUACAUUGUUGUGUGAAUCUGCUUAAAAUUCAAAUAUUCAUUUAGCCAGUCCUCACAAAGCAAUGGAUAAAGGAUUGUAGUGGCAAUUUAUCCUUGUGAGUGAUACACUUGUGUCAAAGGGCCACUGAU
ensembl:lncRNA